GUAAUCUCUUCAGCAGCACAUAUACUAAAACUGGAAGAUACAGAGAAGAUUAGCAUGACCCCUGUGCAAAACUGACACACAAAUUCAUGAAACAUUCCAUAUUUUU
rnacentral:snRNA from 1 species